UACAGAGGGUGCGAGCGUUAAUCGGAAUUACUGGGCGUAAAGCGUGUGCAGGCGGGGGUGUAAGUGGUGUAUGAAAUGUCCCGGCUCAACCGGGAGGGGUUAUGCCAGACUGCAUCUCUUGAGUGCGAGAGAGGAGCGUGGAAUUCCGGGUGUAGUGGUGAAAUGCGUAGAGAUCCGGAGGAACACCGACGGCGCAGGCAGCGUCCUGGCCGCUUGCUGACACUGAGGCACGAAAGCUGGGGGAGCAAACAGG
rnacentral:rRNA from 1 species